GAGGCCGACAACAUGGGAAAAGCAUGUCAUGUUACCCUCAAGGACCUCAGGCAACAGAGGAAUUUGAAGAAGCAGGGUUCUUCCAUGAGUCUCAGAUGUGCAGUUGCCAUGGUAUCCAAUGGUCGGGUCUAGGCACGGUGCUGAAGGUUCUUGGCAAAUAAUGAGAAAGCCUGCUCAACUGACAGAUCACACACAAGACAUAAAGACUUGUCAGUAUGGUUUCAGGAUUUUCCUGGAUUCAAGAAAGGAAUGCAGCAGACUGGAAGACAUGAUGCUAAGUAGGGUAUACCAUGUAUGAAAGGUGAGUACCACAUCCACUGUCACUGUGGAAGAUUCAACAAAGACUAGAAAGUGCAAUCCUCAUUCCUAGGAAUAAAGAAAGAUGUUGGGGAAUGGUUGUAUUUGAUCAUAUGCUAAAUGCAUAUAUGGAUGUAUAACAUGGAGCUCCAUUAAUAUGUACAAUUAAUUCAAGUUAAUCUAAAUAAAACCAUUUUUAAAA